GUAGGUGAACCUGCGGAAGGAUCAUUUAUAAAUCUAAAAAUUGUGUAUGUGAUCAGAGAUGAUUGCAUGCAUAAUAUAAUAUAUAAUCCUUUGUGCAUUGAGUUGGAUUAGCUUUUUUGAGGUUGAUUCGACUCCUAGGUGAAGUGGGUUUAUUUUGUUUGUUUUUAAAGGGGAAGAAGGGCUCUACAAAAGCUAUUCUCUCCUUUACUACAACACAAUAUAUUUACGUGAUUUAAAAAAGUCUUAACAA
rnacentral:misc_RNA from 1 species